AACCCAUUUCCGGCGAAAUCACCGCCACCGUCCACACCACCGGCCAUUAGAGGAUCCUCUCUUCCUCCUCUUGCAUCUAAGCUUGUUUUGAUCUAUGGAGGAAGAUUUGAAGGUGUUUGAGCGUGUGAACAGUAACGUGAACAGUAACUGUCGAGUUCUUGGUUUUUGUUUGAUUUCUCCGGCCUUUUCUGCUUGAUUUUGGUUGUUGUUGCAGGACGUAUUGAUCCCUUGAGCAAGGGGAUACGGGUAGGCAGCAGGAUUAGCUGCGAGACUCACCUGUGAGUGGACUUUUGUUUUA